rnacentral:rRNA from 1 species
AGUGAACGCUGGCGGUAGGCCUAACACAUGCAAGUCGAACGGCAGCACAGUAAGAGCUUGCUCUUACGGGUGGCGAGUGGCGGACGGGUGAGGAAUACAUCGGAAUCUACUUUUUCGUGGGGGAUAACGUAGGGAAACUUACGCUAAUACCGCAUACGACCUACGGGUGAAAGCAGGGGAUCCUCGGACCUUGCGCGAUUGAAUGAGCCGAUGUCGGAUUAGCUAGUUGGCGGGGUAAAGGCCCACCAAGGCGACGAUCCGUAGCUGGUCUGAGAGGAUGAUCGGCCACACUGGAACUUGGACACGGUCCAGACUCCUACGGGAGGCAGCAGUGGGGAAUAUUGGGCAAUGGGCGCAAGCCUGAUCCAGCCAUACCGCGUGGGUGAAGAAGGCCUUCGGGUUGUAAAGCCCUUUUGUUGGGAAAGAAAAGCAGCAGGUUGAUACCCCGCUGUUCUGACGGUACCCAAAGAAUAAGCACCGGCUAACUUCGUG